UACGAAGGGGGCUAGCGUUGUUCGGAAUUACUGGGCGUAAAGCGCACGUAGGCGGAUACUUAAGUCAGGGGUGAAAUCCCGGGGCUCAACCCCGGAACUGCCUUUGAAACUGUCUGGCUUGAGGCCGGGAGAGGGUAGCGGAAUUCCCAGUGUAGCGGUGAAAUGCGUAGAUACUGGGAGGAACACCGGUGGCGAAGGCGGCUACCUGGACCGGUUCUGACGCUGAUGCGCGAAAGCGUGGGUAGCAAACAGG
rnacentral:rRNA from 1 species